rnacentral:rRNA from 2 species
AUGCUUCUCCUAAAGACUAAGCCAUGCAUGCCUCCGAAUAAGUUGAAGCAAUUCUCCUGAAUCUGCGAACGGCUCCGCAAAACAGUUGUAAACCAUAGCAAGCACAUCAUCCGUCCUCGCGGCGGGUGAUUAUAAGGAUAACCCUGGUAAUUCUGAGGCUAAUACUCGAUCGUAAACCUGGGCAACCGGCAACGGAAACCUAGUGGACGUGUACUAUGUCGCAGGAGCGCCAGGAAAGGACACACGUUCAGACCGUCAUACUAAACGGUCCCAGGCGACAACCUUCAUUGGGGAAACCUGGGCUCGGACGGCUCUUGCGAUGUGCUUCUGACCUAUCAACUAGAUGGCAGCGUAAGGGACAUGCUAUGGUUACAACGGGUACAGAGGAUAAGGGUUCGAUCCUGGAGAGUGGGCCUGAGAGAUUGCUCACACUUCUAAGGAAGGCAGCAGGCGCGCAACGUUCCCAUUGGGCAAUGCCCGAGGGCGUUAGGGGACAUAUGAAUGCCUGUCUUAUGAUGGGCAAUUCAAAUGGGUUUGUUGUAAACAGCCCU